rnacentral:rRNA from 1 species
GCUUGUCUCAAAGAUUAAGCCAUGCAUGUCUAAGUAUAAGCAACCUUAUACAGCGAAACUGCGUACAGCUCAUUAUAUCAGCAAUUAUUUAUUUGAAGAUCACCUAUUACAUGGAUAACCGUGGUAAUUCUAGAGCUAAUACAUGCGAAAAGACGGGCCGCAAGGCUUGUUGUAUUUAUUAGAUACAGAACCAACCCAGGCUCCGCCUGGCCUUGAGGUGAUUCACAAUAACCGAACGAAUCGCAUAGCUGCCGCUGGCGAUAGACCAUUCAAGUUUCUGACCUAUCAGCUAUCGUCGGUAGGGUAUUGGCCUACCGUGGCAAUGACGGGUAACGGAGAAUUAGGGUUCGAUUCCGGAGAGGGAGCCUGAGAAACGGCUACCACAUCUAAGGAAGGCAGCAGG